rnacentral:rRNA from 1 species
AUUGAACGCUGGCGGCAUGCCUUACACAUGCAAGUCGAACGGCAGCACGGGAGCAAUCCUGGUGGCGAGUGGCGAACGGGUGAGUAAUAUAUCGGAACGUGCCCGGUCGUGGGGAUAACGUAGCGAAAGCUACGCUAAUACCGCAUACGAUCUACGGAUGAAAGCGGGGGAUCGCAAGACCUCGCGCGAUUGGAGCGGCCGAUAUCAGAUUAGGUAGUUGGUGAGGUAACGGCUCACCAAGCCGACGAUCUGUAGCUGGUCUGAGAGGACGACCAGCCACACUGGGACUGAGACACGGCCCAGACUCCUACGGGAGGCAGCAGUGGGGAAUUUUGGACAAUGGGCGCAAGCCUGAUCCAGCAAUGCCGCGUGCAGGAUGAAGGCCUCGGUUGUAACGUAGUAC